UGGGGAAUCUUCCGCAAUGGGCGAAAGCCUGACGGAGCAACGCCGCGUGAAUGAAGAAGGCUUUCGGGUCGUAAAGUUCUGUCUUCAGGGAAGAAGUCUUUUUGUGUAAAUAAUGCAGAGAGGUGACGGUACCUGAGGAGGAAGCUCCGGCUAACUACGUGCCAGCAGCCGCGGUAAUACGUAGGGAGCGAGCGUUGUCCGGAAUUACUGGGCGUAAAGGGCGCGUAGGCGGGAUCUUAAGUCAGGUGUGAAAACUCCGGGCUCAACUCGGAGAUUGCAUUUGAAACUGGGAUUCUUGAGGGCAGGAGAGGAAAGUGGAAUUCCUAGUGUAGCGGUGAAAUGCGUAGAUAUUAGGAGGAACACCAGUGGCGAAGGCGACUUUCUGGACUGUACCUGACGCUGAGGCGCGAAAGCGUGGGGAGCGAACGGG
rnacentral:rRNA from 2 species